rnacentral:lncRNA from 1 species
UGGCCCAUAAAUAUUUGUAGAGAAAUCAGAAAAUGUAAAUUAAAACCACAGGAACCAGCCACCUAAACUGAUGGAAACAUCAGCCAGGACCAAGGACUGUGAGCAACCUGCAAACCCAGAGAGCCGGGCAAACACAGGCCAGGCUUCCGGCCGCCUGCCAGCCUGAUUGGGCAGUGAGGGUGAGACUCUCCCAUGGCUCGGGCUCCAGAGCUGCUCUCAAUGGCCUGGGUCACCUGUGCACUAGCAAAGAGUGAGCAGCACCUGCUCCCUGCUCCUCCCCUCUCUCCUGCCCAUCCUGAAAGCCUGCCCUGCCUCCCUGCUCCACCCUGAAUGGGGCAGUUAGUGGAACCUCAGCGCCCGGCGGUCUAUUGUCCCUGCCAGGGUCCCGUCCACCUACCAUCCGCCUGCAGCACUAAGGGUGAAGGCCUCGGGCGCCGUAGAGAAAACACAACUUCAAGGCCCGGUGCCUGCCGGGCCUUUCCUGCAGCACAAGCGGUGUGCUGCGUACCAGGGUAGGCCGGACCUGACCCCGGCGGGGCUGCGCCGGACGCCACGACGCAGAAGCCAGAGCUCGGACACCGCGCUGGCCCGAGGCGUAGCGACCUCGCAACGUCCGGCAAGAGAACUCUCGCUGCGCCGGGGCCGCCUUCCUCGCCACGCCCCCGCCUGGCCCCGCCCCGUCCCAGGCCACCAUGGAGGCGCCGAGACCUCCAGCCGCCUAGAGGGACCCGGAAGUACUCCGAGGCCAGUGACUGGAAUUUGGAAGUGGCCCGGCCGGCAGGAGUGGCGGCCACCACCCGGCUGUCCCCACGCCGCAGCGACAGCCCCGCCAGACGAUCUAGGGCGCACUUCUCACGUAUGUAGCAGCAGUCAACGGAGAAAUGCAAAUCCUGGUCACGGUCUCUAUAGUGCUUGAGGAAACUAACUAGAUCCCGGACUGACAAAUCUGUGGCCGCCUUCAUCCAUCGCCCAUACUCUUCCAGCUGAAGGGGGAAGAGCAGCUCUCUGUAACCCGGGCCCCUGCGAGGAUGUCCUGCUGCCUGCAAGCGCCCUGCUGUCGUGAGCGUGAGCGGACUGCUUGCCGCCAGUCAUACACAGCGCUGAAAUAUCACAGGGAUGUGUCACACAAGAAACCCAAAGUGUAAAUACAGGGCAAAACCAAAGAUGGGCGAUAGCAAACACGGAGGGAAGGGGAAGAGGGCUGGUGGAGGAAGGGACGAGGGGUGGAAAACAGUGAAGGUGUGUUGUGCACACGCGCAGCUUCCCGGGAGGAGCGUGAUCGUUGUGCACUGCAAACUGGACCGAUAAAAUUUUAACAGAGAAGGAGUGGCCGCCCUCCGCCAGGCUGAGGGUCGCGGUGCGUUCCGCCCUCCUCUGUCUCUAAAAACAGUGCCCCUGCAAGAUUGACACCAGGGAAGGUGGAUCAGCACUGUAAAGCCCUCAUAUGAUGCUCGGGGGCACAGCGUUACUUCUAUGGCAUCGUGACAAGUUGCACGCCGUCUAGCUCAUAGUGACCAAACAGCCAGCAAGCCCAUCCUCCAUGUGAAGUGUCACCCUCGAGGGGCUGAGUGUAGGACACGCUCUUUACUGUUCUUGAUUCAUUUGCUGUUUGAGAAAGGGUCCUACUUUCAUUUUAAUUCCCUGUGGCUGCUUUCCUUAUCAUAGGCAGUUAAUUUCAGGCUUUAGUUUUUAACUUUCCAGUGAAGCCAUUCAGAGAGGACCCUGGGAGACUCGUCACCGCGGUCCGGUCAUGGCAGUCCCCCGGCCCUGCCAGCACACACUUUCAAGGUGCACAAAGUGCUGGCUUCCCAAGAAAAGGCAGCAAGUGGCCAAGUCCAGGGUGGACCGAUGGAGGGACACUUUUACUCCCUGGGUGCCCUUCCCCAACACGGAAGCCGGAUCCCCGGCCCACCACUCUUCCUGGGGCCUAGGAAGGUAUUGUCCCCACCUCUGUGUGUGUGUGCUUCAGCCCGAGUCUUCAUAAUUUGAAUUCAAAGAGAUCAAACCUUCAGAUGGAGAACAAAUGGUCCCUGAAGGAGCAGGGAAGGUAAUGAAUCCCUUGGGUCCAAAUCAACAAUCACCCUCACUUCUCAGUACCGGAGAGUAUUGAGUCCCAGAGGGGAGGCUCCUCCAGGGUCCUGAUCACAUGAGGAUUGAUAAUAACUGUACUUCUUAAAGGGUGGGCCUCGAGUCUCUGCAGUGUGACACUGGCAGUGACACCUGUGCGUCAUUGACAGCUCUACCCUCCGCCUCUGUGCUCAUGACACGCAAGCCCUCUGAAGCCAUCCGGCCCAAAAGGCCACCGUGAGCACUGUCUUCAUCACUUUCCCAGCUGGACAUGGAGCCUGGCGGUGCAAACUUGAAGGGAUCUCAGUAAAGUCCAUCUCUUACACAAAGUCCCAUAAGGCAGACUAUGAGGCAGGCGCGGUGGAGCACACCUGUAAUCCCUGCACACAGGAGGUUGAGGCAGGAGGGUGGCUGGGAGUUCGAGGCCAGCCUGGGCUAUACAUGUUCAAGGCCAACUUGAACCACAUAGCAAGACUUUGUCUCAAAGAAAGAAAAAAGACUCCAGAAGGGUAAACAUACAGACACACUAGGAAAGUUUGCAACAUGUAAGGGAACCACUGUGUUUUGUUUUGUUAUGGUUUGGGGUUUUUUUGAUUGAUUGUUUGUUGUGGGGGGUUAUUGAUACACUUUAGAUAUACAUAAUGACAACAUUCAACUUUGAAUCUGCUGCUUUUUUACAAAGCCUUUAUUCCCAUUUCUUCCUGGUAUCCUUUUUUCUUUUCCCUUCCUCUCUCUCACUCCCCUGCUUUGUUCCCCUUCUCAUUUGAACAUUUCUUCCCAUUUCCCAAUAUCUGUUUUACAUUUUGGCACUCGUGAACACUUUUUGUUUCUCACACCUAAGAUGCAAUGCAUUUACACAUAUGUGUCCGAUUUUUUUCACUUAAGAGUGCGGUCUCAAGGUCUAUGCUUUUACUUAGACAUGUAUCCUUCUUUAUGGCAGAGUAGUUCCCCUUGUGUUAAAAACACACACCAUCUUUAUCCAUUCAUCAGUUGAUAGGCAUUUGGCCAUUUGCAAGAUUUAGCUAUUGCAAACUGUGCCACUAUAAAUAUGGGUAUUCAUAUAUUGCUGUAGUAAAAUUUUUUAAUUCUUUCAGAAAGACACCAAGAGGUUUACCAAGACCUAGCUAUCUCUAGGUCAAAUGGAACCUAUGGUUUUAGUUUUUUCAGGAAUCUCCACAGCGGUUUCCACAGUGGUUGCACCGGUCUGCACUCCCACCAACAAUGGAAAGGGUUCCUUUUUCCCCACAGCCCCACCAGCAUUUGUUGUUGGUUGACUUCUUGAUAGCCAUUCUUUCUAGAAUGACAUGGAAUCUCAGCACUGUUUUAAUUUGUGUUUCUCGAAUGACUAGUGGUGUUGAACAUUUUUUAUAUAUUUAUUUGCCUUUCUACUUCAUCUGAGAAGUGUGUUUUCAUUUCAGAUGUCCAUUUUUAGAUCGGAUCUUUAAAUUUUGGAGGGGGUCUCAUUUUUUCAAUUCUUCAUAUGUUCUAGAAAUUAGUCCUUUUUCUGAGGCACAGCUGACUAAAAUUUUUUCCCACUCUGAAUUGUCUCUUCAUUCUGUUGGUGAUUUCUUUUGCUAUGCAAAAGGUUUUUAAUAAGGUAAGAUCCCACUUGUUGAUGCUUUCUGAUAUUUCCUGUGUGACCAGGGUUUUGUCCAUAAAGUCUUUCUUACACCAGUGUCAAGAGUUCUACCCAUUCUCUUUUCUAAUAGAUUUACUCUUUCUGUUUUAAUAUUUAGAUCUUUGAUCCAUUUUGAUUUUAGUUUAGUGUGUGCUGAAAGAUAUGAAUUUAGUUUUAGUCUUUGGCAUGUGCAAAACCGGUUUUCCCUGCACUAUUUUAAUAAGAGGCUAUCUUUCUUCCACUUAUCCUUUGUCAAAGAUAAGGUGGCUGAGUGUGUUUGGAGUUCUUUCUGUAGCUUCUAUUCUGUUCCACUGAUGCUCAGGUCUGUAUCUUUGCCAGUACCAUGCUGUUUUUAUCACCAUAGCUCUGCAGUAUAACUUCAAAUAAAGGAUUGUGAUGCCCCUGUUUUAUCUUUGUUGCCCAGAAUUGUUUUUGCUAUUCUAUGUCUUUUCUGGUUCCAAAUGAAUUUUAGAAUUAUUUUCUCUAAUUCUGUGAUACAUGCCAUUGGUAUUUUGAUUGAGAUUGCAUUAAAUCUGUGGAACCAUUUGGAGAGCAUAGCCUUUUUCACUAUACUGGUUCUUCCUACCCAAGAACAAGGGAUAUGUUUCCAUUUCCUGUUAUCCUCUUUGAUCUCCUUUUUCAGAGUACUGUAGUUUUCCAUGUAAAGGUCUUUUACUUCCUUUGUUGGACUGAUUCUCAGUUAUUUAAUUUUUUGUAUGCUAUUGUGAAGGAGGUUGUUUCCCUAAUUUCUUUCUCAGUGAAUUGUUAUUUGUGUACAGGAAUGCUAUUGAUUUCUGUGUGUUGGCUUUGUAUCCAGCUAUGCAACUGAACUUGGUUAUUAAAUCGAAAAGCCUUUUGGUAUUUUGGGGGGGUCUUCUGCUAAUAAUGUCAUCUGCUAAUAAUGAUAAUUUGACUUCUUUCUUUUCUAUUCUAUUUGUUUUAUUUCUUUAUCUUGUUUAAUUAUUCUGGCUAAUGUUUCCAGAACUAUAUUGAAUAAAAGUGGUCAUAGUGGACCCCUUGUCUUGUUCCUGAUUUUAGAGUGAAAGCUUUCAGUUUUUAUCAAUUUAAUAUAAUGUUGAGAGUUUGUUUGUCAUAGAUGUAUUUUAUCAGCACCUUCUACUCCAAUUUGUUUAUCAUGAAUGUGUGUUGGACUUUGUCAAAUGCUUUUUCUGCAUCUAUUGAGAUCACAUGGUUUUUGCCCUUGGCUUUAUUAAUAUAGUGUAUAACUUUUUUUUUUAAUACCAAGGAUCCAACUCCAGUCCUUACACUUAUGAGGUAGGUAGCAAAACCACUGAGCUAAAUCCCCAGCCCUAACAUUUAUUGAUUUGUAUGUGUUAAACUAUCCCUGCAUGCCUGGGAUGAACCAUACUUGGUUGUGGUGUAUAAUUGUCUUGAUGAUUUGCUGCAUUUUGUUUGUGAGUAUCUUAUUAAGGAAUUUUGUGUCUAUGUUCAUUAGGGAGGUUAGCCUGUAAUUCUCUUUUUUGGUUGGAUCCUCCUCUGGUUUUAGUAUCAGCAUAAUGCUUGCUUUCAGGAAUGAAUUUGGGAGUAUUGCUUUCACUAGAGUCUGAGAAGUAGCAGCGCUAAGUCUUUUCUACAUUUCUUAUAAAAUUCAGCAGUAAAGCCAUCAGGGCCUGAACUUUUCUUUGUUGGUAGGAUUUUAAUUACAUCUUCAAUCUCAUUGACUGAUAUUGGUUUAUUUAGAAUUUGUAUAUCUUGCCGGGGAUUUAGCUCAGUGGUUCGGUGGCCUGCCUUGCAAGCGCAAGGACCUGAGUUCAAUCCCCGGUACCAAAAAAAAUAAAGAAAGAAAGAAUUUGUAUAUCUUGCCGGGGAUUUAGCUCAGUGGUUCGGUGGCCUGCCUUGCAAGCGCAAGGACCUGAGUUCAAUCCCCGGUACCAAAAAAAAUAAAGAAAGAAAGAAUUUGUAUAUCUUCUUGAUUUAGCUUUGAUAAUUCAUAUGCAUCUAAAAAUCUG